AUGUUGAAAAACUUCUUUAAGGUUCAUUAUAUAGAAUGUUACAACAUGAAUUAUACUACCGAAUUCAUUUUUUUGAAAUAAUAAAAACUAGAGAAGAUAAGUUAGAAUUAUAAUUCUAAAGAAGGGUGUAACAGAAUAUUAUACUCCUUCCUUAAAGGUACGCAUACUUUGUCCAGAAAUAGGGAGCCUUAAACUAAAGCUUCUUAAUGUACCGAAUCUUUUUUCAUCAGCAAAUGGAUGCACCCCUUAUGUUUUAGAUAAUCAAAACAAAACAACAACAAUAACAACAACAACAACACAUUGUUCACACGUUCCAGAAUAAUCAACUUUUCCUUUCAAUAAGGAUAAAAGCUAACACAAAUGAAUAUGCGCAAAAACAAGCUCAUAGUGCAGAAGAGCUGGAAAAGCAAAGUCUGCUGGAGCGAAGCACAGAUUGUUGGUUAUUUCUUAUUCAGAACAACGCAUGUGCACAUUAUGGUGUGUGUACAGCGAUGGAGUGAUGGAGUCUACGAAAGGGCCAGACAAUGUAGAACCUGCACCACAAAGGGACCCCACCCACACUUAGCCCAUCUCCAGUGAAGCCCUACACAAGUUUUGAA
rnacentral:lncRNA from 1 species